rnacentral:rRNA from 1 species
CCUACGGGAGGCAGCAGUGGGGAAUAUUGGACAAUGGGCGGAAGCCUGAUCCAGCCAUGCCGCGUGUGUGAAGAAGGCCUUUUGGUUGUAAAGCACUUUAAGCGAGGAGGAGGCUACUAGUACCAAUACUACUGGAUAGUGGACGUUACUCGCAGAAUAAGCACCGGCUAACUCUGUGCCAGCAGCCGCGGUAAUACAGAGGGUGCGAGCGUUAAUCGGAUUUACUGGGCGUAAAGCGUGCGUAGGCGGCUUUUUAAGUCGGAUGUGAAAUCCCCGAGCUUAACUUGGGAAUUGCAUUCGAUACUGGGAAGCUAGAGUAUGGGAGAGGAUGGUAGAAUUCCAGGUGUAGCGGUGAAAUGCGUAGAGAUCUGGAGGAAUACCGAUGGCGAAGGCAGCCAUCUGGCCUAAAUACUGACGCUGAGGUACGAAAGCAUGGGGGANCAAACGAGGUAUUAGACUACCCGUGGUACGUCCGACUAGACCGUAACGUACUAGUACUACUACGUCCGUUCGGGUCCGUUGUAGGUCGUUAGUUGGUCGCGAGCGUACGACGAGUAAGUAGACCGCCGUCGGGUAGGUACGGUCGCGAGAACGUAAACCGUACGAAACGUAGUAGUAGACGACGAGAGAGCGACGGACGGACGACGACGGAGGGAGGUG